GGAUGCGAGGGCAAUCUGGCUGCAUCUGUCACCCCAUUGAUCACCAGGGUUGAUUGGGCUGAUCUGGCUGGCUAGGCGGGUGUCCCCUUCCUCCCUCACCGCUCCAUGUGCAUCCCUCCCAAAGCUGCGCCCGCCCUCGGUCGAGGAGGACGACCAUCCCCGGAUAGAGGAGGGCCCUUCUUCGGUCAAGGGUAUACGAGCAGCUGCGCUCCCCUGCUAGAACCUCCAAACAAGCUCUCAAGGUCCAUUUGUAGGAGAAGGUAGUUAAGCUUCCAGGACUCCAGACACAUCCAAAUGAGGCGCUGCACGAGGCAGUCUGCCUUU
rnacentral:snRNA from 1 species